rnacentral:lncRNA from 1 species
CAUUAAUGCUGUUUGGGAUAAAAUCUGAACUUUGGGCCAGAGAGAAAGUCGGCCCAAACCCAAGGCCCAGAGGAAAACUUAGGAGGUAGGAAAGAGGCUUUCGGCUGGGCACAAAUUACAAAGGCCACCUGCUUACCUGCUCAAAAACCACAGGGGGUAGGUUAUUCAAUCACUGCACAGCCCAAUAAAGUACUUUAUUGGUGGCAUUCAUGUAAAAAAGCUAGUGAGUCAUCACCAAACCGCAUUCGGGCAACCGCCAUUGCUACAGGAACCCAAGCUGAAUCCGUCUAUAAAAUGAGGAAGAGAAGACAGAAUUAAGGACACUCAAACAAACAAACAAAAGCCAAAACUCUGCUCAAGCCAGAUUUGCCUUCAACAAAGCUGUAGUCAGCACAAGCCUUCAUCCCGCUCGGGAUAAACCUUCCCAAACCCCUGUAAUAGCUCUGCUACCUUGUUCUUGGUGGUAUCGAUUCAUUUUGUAUCCUCUUCUCCCCAUCAACCCCUUCUGAAAGCUUUCAGACCUUUGAUAGAGCCACAAAGAUAGAUUUUGUAAGAAGUUCAGCCUUGGCCGAUAAGGUUCAAACUUGCCCGACUAUCUUUGCUCUGUCUUUGUCUUUUCUUUCUUUUAAAAGCACAAUAACAUGUUAUAUAUUCUCAGUUAUAUACACGUUAUUUCUGGCAAAGUCACAAUGAAAAUGAGUCUUCAGCACUUGAAUCCGAUCUGAAUCACGUCAGAGUUUAGAUCAGAUCUGAGGCUUAAGCCCGCGGGCAUGUAAUUUAAAGAUCAGUUUAAAAGUCCUUGGCCUCAAGGCAUAAAAAAGAACUCUAUGUGGACUCAACCCAUCCACGACGAUCCUUGAUAAGCGAGAAGUCCGAAGUUACUUGGGGCGCAAGUAAUCAAUCUAUUUCUCCGUUUUGUUACUAUUAUAUCUUGAUUCGUAGAAAAGGCUUAAGCAUAGAGUGAAUUCUGAUAGAAAGCCUCAAGGCCUACACCUAAGGCCCCACGAAGGCAUCUAUUUAGCUUCAUUUUAUGUUGCGGUCUAGUUGGUCCGAGUAUAAGGAUUAACUCUGAUGGGAAGCCUCAAGACCUAUACCUAAGGCCCUACAAAGGCAUUCAUUUGGGUUCGUCCUACCUCUUGGAUUCAGAUAAUCAAAGGUAUAAUAGUGAUAAAACUCUGGCAAUCAUAAAAGGUCAAAUAUGAUACAUCCAAGCGCUGGUUUAGUUUGAGAGGAAGCCUCAAGGCCUACACCUAAGGCCUCACAAAGGCACCUGUUAUAUCUAACUCGGUUUCUCGGGCGUAUACAUAUUCAAUCAAAGCUUAAACACCCAUUCAACAUCUGCCAUACUGAAGAUGGCAGUGGCACGCCUGAGCACGAUAAAGUUAAUCUUGAUUGUGAGCCUCAAGGCCUACACCUAAGGCUCCACAAAGGCACCCUUUCAAAUUAACUCUGUCCUUCUCUUUCAGAACUGCCCGACGAGCCUUGCCCGAAGUGUGUCUUGCCCGACCAAGAUCUGCCCGACGAAGGCUUGCCCGAGCAAGCCCGAGAAGAAAGCAGGAGUACGACAGAUACCCUCAACCGACGCCAUUCUCCCAGGGGAGCUGUGUGCUCGACCGCCAGGAGAUUCCUGCGACGAACAUAGUUUUGGCACGCCCGGUGGGAUCAGAAAAAGCUACACUUCUAAGAUCUUACAUGUCCAAAAAGAGAAGCUAUAAACUUGCCAAAAAAGAAGCCAAGAAGGAUCUUUUCCAGAUGACAGAGCAAUCAGAAAAUCCUUUAUCCCCGUCUGGACAGGUGGUCUCAGAUAGUUCGACUGCAUCUGAGAAAUCACAGGGGAAAUGGAUUAAUGAAGAACUGCAAGCUACAAUGAUCCAAGUGUUGAAAAGCAUGGAAAGAAUUUCCUUGGAGACUAAGGGAGAAGUGAGCAGACUCUGCAUGCUUACAGGAAAUCUACAAAUGAGGCUGGAUUUGGAGUUCUCCACUCCAAAGGGUGCUCAAAGAAGUGGAAUAAGUCCAGUUGUUAUAAGAAGUGAGCCAAUCAUUCCUUUGUUUCCACUACUAGAAGAAGAAAAGGAUAGGGGAAAGAAGAAGGUGAUACCUGAAGGAAGUCAAGCAGUGAUGGAGUCAGCUUUAGAAAAGGAGUUUCCCAGCUUCCCAUUAUUAUCAUUUAAUGAUACGAGGCAGAGCGAACAAGAAAGAAUGAAGUUUGGACUGCCAGCCACGGCUGGAGAAACUAGCGGGAAAGAAACAACCACUACUACGUCAGAUAAACCUCUACCUUAUAGACCACCCCCGAUGGUCAACAAAGGUGGAGGAUCUAACUGGAGAAAAUCUGAAACCAGGAGGGAAGCAAACGCGGGCAAUGACCGGAGUCCGAAGGUUGAGUCCGCUAUCCAUGGCCAGAAUGGUAAUUUAGCUACCCAGCAACUAAGAGAAGAAUUGGCCGAGUUAAGAAGAACGGUGAUUCAAAACGCCCAGCCUCGAGUUCGUCCAGUAUUCAGGGUUACCUACCAGAAGCCAUAUCCUGAAUAUAUCGAUGAGUUAAAUCCAUUCCCUCUUAAUUUCAAGAUGCCCGCAUUCCCGACUUUCACAGGGGAAGAUAGCAGUGUGUCCUCUAGGGAUCAUAUUUUCAAAUUUUCUAAUCAUUGCGUGGCGUAUGAGGACAAUCCAAACUACAAAUUGAGGUUGUUUGGAAAUUCACUAGCAGGAUUGGCAUCUCAAUGGUAUUCUCUAUUACCCCCCAAUUCCAUUGCUAACUGGGGGCAAAUGGAGAUGGCUUUCCAUGAACAGUUCUACAGGAUAGAGCCAGAGCUCACCAUUAAUGAUCUGGUAGAAGUGAAACAAUAUGAUCAUGAGUCCACCGAAGAUUUUAUGAUGAGGUUCAGGAGGACAAGGAUGAGAUGUCAGUUCCCUGUCAACCAGGCACAGCUCAUAUCCAUUGCUCAAAGGGCUUUAAAAUUACCUUUGAGAAAAAGGUUCUAUGAUGCACAUUUAAUGAGCUACAAGAGUUGGUGAUUGCUGCCACUAAGUAUGAGAGGCUGUUACAGGAGGAACAGCAGGUAAAACAUACUUCCAAAACUCCUCCGUUCUACAAAAAUAAAGCUACUAUUCACCAUGUAGAGGUUGGGGAGGUUGGACCCGAAUGCAAAGAUGAUCAUGGGGAGAAGAGUAUAGAUGUGUGUGCUGCUGAGAUGAUCACACCCUUCAAGCCAUUGACGAUCAAAGGGUUAGUCCAACCAGUCAAGGACCAGAAGAUCGUGAUGAAUGAUGGUGGGUUCGUACCCAUGAAACCCCCAAAGUAUCAAAGUUAUUCUUUCGAUCUAACCAAGGCGCCAGAAAUCUAUGAAGAGCUUGUGCGAGCAAGAGUCAUUUUGCCCGACAGCACCAAAAAGAUGCCCAAGCCCGAGGAACUCAGGGGGAAGAAGUAUUGCAAGUUACAUUAUACCUUCAACCACUCUAUAGUCAAUUGUGUCCAAUUUAGGGACUGGGUACAGGAUCUUAUAGUGAAGGGGAAGUUACUACUCGAUUCACCUCAGGCUAGUAUGAUGGUGGAUACUAACCCUUUCCCCGAAGUUCCUAUUAGCAUGAUCGACCUCGUUUUCAAAGAAUCGGGGUUAUCAACAGAAUAAAAUGCCAUUGAAAGAACCCGGGGGCAGGGGCUAAGAUUGCCAACCAUAAAGAUGGAGGAGGAGGAAAGCAGGUAGGCAGGGGGGCAUAGAGUUGCCUGAGGCCUAUUCAAAUGAAGCAGAACAGGAGGAAUGUUACAUAUCCAUUCUAAACAAAAAAAGAUUACAAAGUAAUUCUAUUCCAAAAACUUUACAUCUUCACAUAAGGUGAUUAUUCUAGAAUGAUAUGUUCGCAUGAUGGUAAAAAUCCUAUUUGGUUCAGCCAAGACAGUAUGGCUGUUUACAAGUUCAGACUUGGUUUGCUCUAACUCUGAAGUCGCUUUUUCCACCCCUUCGAUCUGUUGCUCAAGGUUAUCCAGAAGAGUUGUUUGAUCCGCCCUAAGGAUCAUCAGUUGUCUCUCCAACUUCUGAAUUUCAGAAGAAACAACUUCAAUCCGUUCUUUGGUCUGCAUACUCUCUUCCAUCAACCGACUAACUCGGGUAGAGGAGCUCGAUUCUCUCUCUAUGAAGCAUUUUGCCCGGUUAGCCAGCCGGUCUGCUCUCUGAUGUUGCUCCCUGAGGGCCCUCAAGUUUUCAAAGAAAGAAAGGAAAGAAUCAUACUGAGGCUUGGAUAAGCGAUCGUUUUUAAAGAACUCAGUAAUGACUCUCUCAAGGUCACAGAGAGCCUUGAGGCUAAAUGAUGCAGUGAAUUCUUUCUUUGCCCAGGUUUGAAAGAUUUGUUGCUGUUCCGAAGACAUAGAUUUUGUUGAAGCCUGCUUUGAAGACUUCAACCGCGUCUCAAGUCGCCCGAGUGCUUCGAAGAGUUUGGGCAACUUGGCAGGAUCAGAGGAGGAAGGAGAAGGGUCCGGCAUAACAGUUUCUUCUGGUGAGAUAAUGCCUAUGGAACGGGCAAUUUCUGUUUGUUCAAUCAGUUCAUCUCUAGACAGGGAGGUGUCAACAUCUCCAGAGGAAGAAGGAGGUUGAAAGCACAUUGGGUUACGGGCCAUUGGAGGAAGGGAAGUUUCUUUUGGGGAAGCCCGCUACAAAAUUUCAGGAUCAGGACAAGAUAAACUAUACACAAGUCAAAACAAAUGAGGCUUUGGAAAGAAGAAAGUUACCUGACUUAACCCCGAGGUUUCACCAGAGAAUGCACUAACUCCUUGUCGAAGUGAAGAUUUUUCACCACCAGCGACAGAUGGGAGAGUUGUGCCUGAACCUGUGCCUACAUCCUGGUUGUAUCCGAAGAAAGUAGUGAUGAUCAGCAAAAGGUCACCAGAAGAAGAAACAAGAAGAAAAUAUUCUAGCACCUGAGGUUGAUCUUGAGGAGAAGGAGGUUCAUUGAGCAACUGGCGAGUAAGCGCUUGCGAAAUAGUUGUGUUUGAAGCUACAGGGAUCUCAGGAACUAUGGGUUCUUUAUCCAAGGCCACUGACGAGGAAAGGGGUUCAUAUCCCGAAGAUGGCUGCAAAGAACAUGGAUAGGAGUUACUUGGGUAGCAAUGUGCAAAGUUGAAGUGAAAAGAAAGAGUAACUCACCAAAGUAUCAUCCUCAUCCACAAAAUGCAAUAUGAUUCCUGUGGAAGGAUCAAAUUGAGAAGAAGGGGUUGCAUCUAGGGCAGGUUGCGGAGAAAGACUUUCUUUCCUUGUAGCCUAAGCCAAAUUAUUCGAAAGUCAGAAAGGUUUGAAAAUAAGGAAGUAUAAAGAUAGAAGUCAUACCUCUUUAAGUGUAGCAGCCCUUCGUGAUUCCUUCUUAGAAGCAAGGGUUGACCUUUUAGAAGCUUGAGGUCCUGUUUAAGUGAUAAAGGGAUAAUCAGAUAAGGGAGAAAGGUAGCCAUUUGAUCCGGAAGAGGAGAUACUCACUGGAAGAUUGUUCUGUCUCUUUACUCGCUUCAAAAACAGGAGCAGAUGGGACUGCUGGCUUAAGAGGAACGGUGACUCUUGCCUGCUUACUCUUUCGGUAAGAAUUGGUCGUGUGAUUGCUGAAGGAAGUGCUGGAUCAGAGAUUGUGGUUUUAGUUGUGUCCACCCUCUUUCGUUUAGAUGCUUUGGUCGUAUCUUUGGCUAUUCCUUUAAUUGUUUCUUCAACUCCUGAAUCCCCAAGAGAUUCUGAGACGUCUGUCCCCUCCCCGGCUUCUCGCCUUUCAGCUUCUGCUGCAGCACCAUGAAGAACUGCGGCAUCAGCAGAAUCAUUUUCUGAUUCGACGGCUUCGGAUUCAGUAUCGACUAAAGCUGCAGAAACAAGUAAGAGUGAGGAAAAUAAACAACAAGGAAAGCAAAAUCGAUUGGGAAGAAAGUCACAUAUUAGGAGUAAUCGGUUUUUCUCUUGGAUCAUAUCUUUCCAAUUUGCAAGCUCGCCCGAGCUAGGAUAUGAUUUAAGAGAAAGCUGGCUGAAAAUACGAUCGUGGUUCACUUUCAAAUCUCCUCCGUAUUUUCUAGUCCACCUUUCCUCCCACCAAGAGGAAAACAGCGAGGUACAUUCGAAAUUAAGAACAACGGAAUGUCGGGCUGCUUGGUUCAUCACGUCCAAACUACGGCGGGCAGCUCGAAAUAUUGCUUCAGAAGGAGUCUAUAACCGAAAUGAAGUGUCACAAUGGAUGGAGUCGAAGAAUGGGACAGGUAUGGAUUGCCUAAAUCCUAACUGCCUGCUGCAGAAGUUAGGAUGAUACACCUCCAAGCCUCGAUCAUACCGAUUUCCCCGGACCCCCCAGGCCAAGUCUCUUGGCUGAAUACAGCUGAUAAAUUUUUCCCUGCAGAAAGGAGCAGCAUUCUCACCAGGGGCAUCUUGGAAGGCUUGGUCAGAAAACCAAGGAUAUCUCCUCAAGACCGAUGCACCCCAUUCCAAGUCUGACCGAGUCCUGCAGACUCGAAAAAAGUAGAAGCAUGCAAAGGUGGAAUGAUCUACAGGAGGAGCUUCAGCCAGGAUUCGGGCAGGAGCCACACCCUCUGGAAACUCUAGAUUGAUAGCCCGAAAUUCUGGAAAAUACCAUUGUAACCAAAUCUGUAUCAUCCAGAAGGGGCCGUUCAAAUUGGUCUCAAAGGGCUCAUCCCGGGUCAUGUCAAAAAGAAGGUGAUAGAGAUGGGAGAGAAGGAAUGGACCCGUGGCAACGUCAUCAAAAUUGUGAAGAACCUCUACCAAGGGGAUCCAUUCUACCCGUACCCCCUUGGAUUUGUUGGGGAAGACGUGCUUGUUAAGCCAAUAAAGAAGAAAGUACAUAUGUUCCUGAUCUUUGUCGGCUUGAGGAGAGCCUGCCCCGAAGUUCUUCUUGACAAAAGGGAUGAAUCCUUUAAAGGAGGUUCCAUAACUUUUGAAAGUAACUGAGUUAUAGCUGAGAGGAAGGAAGUAGGUGGAAGAACUUGAGCCCCCGGUGGUAGAGGAUGGAAUCCAAUCUUGAGUAACAUCUAUCACCCUGCCCGAUGGCCUCAAACCGAAGACUUGGGCCAUAUCAAGAAUGGUGGGAGACAUGGGACCCAUACGGAAAUCGAAGGUGUUUGUGCCCGUAUUCCAAAAGAGGAGGGCAGAAGCAAGCAAUUCGGGCUUAGGGGUAAUUGAAAUCUUCGAAAGCAUAAUCAGUUCGUAGAUGCCAUUACUCAUCCAUUUUUGCUUGAAGGAAGGUUCCAACUCGUCAAUCCACUGGGCCCAGGCAAGAUCAUUCAUCAAGGGAAAGCCUCGACGAUGAAAAGACCACUUAGAAGAAGAAAUGCCCGAGUCGGCCAAAUAAGGAUUUGGGGUAAACCAGUUUCCCCUAGGCAUAUUACUUUCUAUUACUGAGGGAACCCGAGAAAUCCAGGCAGGACCCAAAGAUUGAACCCCAUGCAUCUCAAAGAAGAGUUCAGAAUGCAGGCCUGCCCGCGGACGAUGCAGCCCGUUGAGCAGACGGCGUAGAGUGGCAAUUCCUUCACCAGACUCGUAGGAUGGUAGGGUUUGGCCGGAUCCUGAGGCCAUUUGAUGAGGGCCGUGGGGAAGAAGAACAAGGAAAACGGUAAAGAUGCAACCUCGUCGGACAACGAGAAAGAAAUGAUGAAAGAAUUGGGGAAGUUUUGUUGUAUCAGAGAAGGUUUUCUUUUUUUUACGAAACACAGAGAACGGAGAAGUUCACUCACAUGGGUUCUAAGAAUUCUAAAGGUUUAAAACAGGGGUCUCUUUCAAUUAAUGUUGGCGCUUGGGAUCCCAACCUUAACAUCAAUUGAAGGGGGCACUGUUUGGGAUAAAAUCUGAACUUUGGGCCAGAGAGAAAGUCGGCCCAAACCCAAGGCCCAGAGGAAAACUUAGGAGGUAGGAAAUAGGCUUUCGGCUGGGCACAAAUUACAAAGGCCACAUGCUUACCUGCUCAAAAACCAUAGGGGGUACGUUAUUCAAUCACUGCACAGCCCAAUAAAGUACUUUAUUGGUGGCAUUCAUGUAAAAAAGCUAGUGAGUCAUCACCAAACCGCAUUCGGGCAACCGCCAUUGCUACAGGAACCCAAGCUGAAUCCGUCUAUAAAAGGAGGAAGAGAAGACAGAAUUAAGGACACUCAAACAAACAAACAAAAGCCAAAACUCUGCUCAAGCCAGAUUUGCCUUCAACAAAGCUGUAGUCAGCACAAGCCUUCAUCCCGUUCGGGAUAAACCUUCCCAAACCCCUGUAAUAGCUCUGCUACCUUGUUCUUGGUGGUAUCGAUUCAUUUUGUAUCCUCUUCUCCCCAUCAACCCCUUCUGAAAGCUUUCAGACCUUUGAUAGAGCCACAAAGAUAGAUUUUGUAAGAAGUUCAGCCUUGGCCGAUAAGGUUCAAACUUGCCCGACUAUCUUUGCUCUGUCUUUGUCUUUUCUUUCUUUUAAAAGCACAAUAACAUGUUAUAUAUUCUCAGUUAUAUACAAGUUAUUUCUGGCAAAGUCACAAUGAAAAUGAGUCUUCAGCACUUGAAUCCGAUCUGAAUCACGUCAGAGUUUAGAUCAGAUCUGAGGCUUAAGCCCGCGGGCAUGUAAUUUAAAGAUCAGUUUAAAAGUCCUUGGCCUCAAGGCAUAAAAAAGAACUCUAUGUGGACUCAACCCAUCCACGACGAUCCUUGAUAAGCGAGAAGUCCGAAGUUACUUGGGGCGCAAGUAAUCAAUCUAUUUCUCCGUUUUGUUACUAUUAUAUCUUGAUUCGUAGAAAAGGCUUAAGCAUAGAGUGAAUUCUGAUAGAAAGCCUCAAGGCCUACACCUAAGGCCCCACGAAGGCAUCUAUUUAGCUUCAUUUUAUGUUGCGGUCUAGUUGGUCCGAGUAUAAGGAUUAACUCUGAUGGGAAGCCUCAAGACCUAUACCUAAGGCCCUACAAAGGCAUUCAUUUGGGUUCGUCCUACCUCUUGGAUUCAGAUAAUCAAAGGUAUAAUAGUGAUAAAACUCUGGCAAUCAUAAAAGGUCAAAUAUGAUACAUCCAAGCGCUGGUUUAGUUUGAGAGGAAGCCUCAAGGCCUACACCUAAGGCCUCACAAAGGCACCUGUUAUAUCUAACUCGGUUUCUCGGGCGUAUACAUAUUCAAUCAAAGCUUAAACACCCAUUCAACAUCUGCCAUACUGAAGAUGGCAGUGGCACGCCUGAGCACGAUAAAGUUAAUCUUGAUUGUGAGCCUCAAGGCCUACACCUAAGGCUCCACAAAGGCA